GAUGAACGCUGACGGCGUGCCUAAUACAUGCAAGUCGAGCGAACGGACGAGAAGCUUGCUUCUCUGAUGUUAGCGGCGGACGGGUGAGUAACACGUGGAUAACCUACCUAUAAGACUGGGAUAACUUCGGGAAACCGGAGCUAAUACCGGAUAAUAUUUUGAACCGCAUGGUUCAAAAGUGAAAGACGGUCUUGCUGUCACUUAUAGAUGGAUCCGCGCUGCAUUAGCUAGUUGGUAAGGUAACGGCUUAUCAAGGCAACGAUGCAUAGCCGACCUGAGAGGGUGAUCGGCCACACUGGAACUGAGACACGGUCCAGACUCCUACGGGAGGCAGCAGUAGGGAAUCUUCCGCAAUGGGCGAAAGCCUGACGGGGCAACGCCGCGUGAGUGAUGAAGGUCUUCGGAUCGUAAAACUCUGUUAUUAGGGAAGAACAUAUGUGUAAGUAACUGUGCACAUCUUGACGGUACCUAAUCAGAAAGCCACGGCUAACUACGUG
rnacentral:rRNA from 1 species